rnacentral:rRNA from 1 species
UAGGGAAUUUUCGGCAAUGGGCGAAAGCCUGACCGAGCAAUGCCGCGUGAACGAUGAAGGUCUUCGGAUCGUAAAGUUCUGUUGUAGAGGAAGAACACUAUUUGUAGGAAAUGACAAGUAGCUGACGGUACUCUACCAGAAAGCUCCGGCUAACUACGUGCCAGCAGCCGCGGUAAU